rnacentral:lncRNA from 1 species
GCUGCUCUGGUCUUGCUUUGCUCGGCCGCUGCCAGUCGACGGCGCCCCGCUGCCUUGCGCCUCGCCACGCCCAGGCGCCGGCGCCACGACGGUCGCCGCCCCUCCCUGAACCUUCUCCGGCCGCCUCCCUCACCGGAGCUCGCCGGAGCCGCCGCCGCCGCCACUAAGGGGAACGGGACCCCCUCGGUCUCCCCGUCCCGUAGUUGGCCUCCCCUCCCCUACACGUACCGUCGCCUCCCAUGCCGCCGGCAUCGCCCACUGGCCGCUGGACAGGAAGAGAACGAAGGAAGGCAGAAGGAAGAAAGAAGAAAGGGAAAGAGAAGAGGAAAAAGAAACUAAGAGAAGAGAAGAGAAUUGAAGAAAAUGAGAGGGAAAGAAAACAAUGGAAAAAGAAGAAAAAAAAGAAAGGAAAGAAAAUAAAUGGUAUUUUCUUUUUUUAUCAAAAUAAAUCCAAAAUUAUCUAUUAUCUAGUUCAAACGGGUUCUCUGAUCCUUUGACCUCCAAAUAAAAUUCGAGACCCAUUCUUAACUUCUAGAAUUAUUCCGAUCUAAUGGUGUCGGUUGCGUCGUAAUCUGAGACUUUGCCAACUUGUCACGCCUAUAAAAUUAUACCAAUUUCUGAAAAAUAAUAUGUAUUAGAUCUCGGUACAUGAAUUACCCCGAAUACGUACUAUGACAAAGUUAAAUACAAUUAAAAACAAUUGACUAGCGAUUAUGGAGCGAAAACGAAAAGAACAAACUAAACUAUCUAAACUAAAGCUUUAGGACACAAUUAACUAACGAUUAUGCAGUGGAAAAGAAAAGAACAAACUAAACUAUGUAAACUAAAGCUUCGGGACGUUGGCUCUACUCCACAGGUAACAGCGGACGAACCUCACUCCUCAAGACUUCGUCUGUUAGACACCUUUGACUCUGAGGAAAGGCGGUGUAAAAGUAAGACUGAGUACAAACCACCGUACUCAAUAAGUAACACUCUUCGAAAAGGAGAAAAUAUGAACGUACUUGGAUAACAAUGGUAGACUAAUGUUACUUUUGCAUAAAACAACAUUUAUUUAGCAAAGGAGUAAUGAAAUAAAAUAAAGUAAAUAUUUAAAAACAUCACCACUGUCCAACGUUACAUCAUGUUGCAGAUAGGCCCAUAAAACCACCAUGUGAGCUAUACCAGUUUCACGGUAAUCAAAUUAUUAAAGGUAAGACUAAUCCCGAUGAGUCUGGUAGUUCGCCCCAUAACCGUGAGCACGACUAUUUGAAUAGUUUUACUCCGACUAGAGGUGCAUAAAUUUAUCCAUAAGACAUGGUCUCACACACGUGACUGUGCACCGACACCGACGUAUCACCAUGAUACAGUGGAAUGGAAACCAUGAUAGAACCUUUCACCUAACCCUCUCUAUCCAAGCG